ensembl:snRNA U1 U1 spliceosomal RNA
GUACUCACCUGGCAGGGAAGAUACCAUGAACACAGAGGUGAUUUUCCCAGGGUGAGGCUCAUCCAUCGCAUGGGGAUAUGCUGACCUCUGAGAUUUCCCCAAAUGCGGGAAACAUGAGUGCUUAAUUUAUGGUAGUGGGGGCUGCAUUUAUGCUUCCCCCUA